GGUGACUUCACGGACUUAUCUGUACCGCAGGAAGGCAUUGUGCCGGGGUAAUGAGAUAACAAGUCAAGAGGCUCUUGGGCAACCGAAUGAGGUCAAGAGCAAGUCUUUGUUAUUACCUGUUCCUGGCACUGGCAGCACAAACAAACCCAAACAGUUUCACCAAAGCAGACUGAUUGGAAAGAGGAGCUGAAACUCUCCCAGGAUGGGGACCAUUCCUAUUAUCACAGUCUUAUUGAAGUCUGAACUUCCUGGCAAUUCAUCUGCAGUGGGAAAGCUACAUUUCUCUAUACAGGCUCACAGGGAACCGGAACUCUAUCCAGUGCUGUACACCAGCACAGAACAAGUAAUGGUGCCGCCUCUUACUGGAGCUUAGAUCACAGGAUCUGCCGCCUCUACAACCAAGGUUCCAUCACUGCCCAAUACUCCAGGGGCUGGAGAGCAAGCCUGCAACACACAGACCUUUGGGGGACAUCUAAGAUCCAAACUAUAGCACAAAAGGAAGACAAUGAAAGGAUCCGUGUCAAAGAAUUAUGCAGGUGUCAGUGGACACGUGGAACACUUCUGCCCCUGGCUAUUGAGAAUCAAGCUGCUAGGAAUUGGCCAGAGGAGCAGGAGCAGCGAGUCAUGCGAGAUGGUGGCCAGUCCCUUCCCUCCCUGUACUCACUGCAGAGUCAGUUCAAUCAGCAGCAGAGAACAGAAGUGUGUCACUCAUCCAUCAGCC
rnacentral:lncRNA from 1 species